UGGCAUCCUUCGAUAUGCAAAGGUACCAUAAGGACAUGUGAAGGUAGUUUUAUCCUGAUCAUCUGGGUGAAUAGGGAUCUGAAAGAACCCUGAAUAGCCAUCCAAAUAGCAAAAAUAAGAAUGAUGAGCUAGUCUCUCAAGCAUUUGAUCUAUAAAUGGUAAUGGAAAAUGGUCCUUUCUGGUUGCAUUAUUCAAUUUCCUAUAGUCUAUACACAUUCUCCAUCCAGUUACAGUCCUUGUAGGUAUUAGUUCAUCAUUUUCAUUUUUCACUACUGUGAUGCCCCCUUUCUUAGGUACAACAUGAACUGGACUUACCCAAUUGCUGUCAGAAACAGGGUAAAUGAUAUCUACAUCAAGCAAUUUCAAGAUCUCCUUUUUCACAACCUCUUUCAUAUUUGGAUUCAAUCUCCUUUGUGAUUCUUGAGAGGCUUUAUGAUCAUUUUCCAACAAAAUUCUAUGCAUGCACACAGAAGGAUUUAUUCCUUUAAUAUCAUCAAUGGUAUAACCAAUUAUCCUUCUAUGCUUUCUAAGAACUCUCAAUAAUUUUUCAACCUCACAAUCAGUCAAUUUAGCACUAACAAUCACAGGAUAUGUAGAAUCUUGACCUAGAAAAGCAUACCUGAGAUUUGUUGGAAGAGGUUUCAACUCUACCUUAGGUGCUUCACUUUUCUCAAGCUUUGAUGAUGAAGUUGUUUCUUGCUUCAAGUUCCCAAUCUUUUCAAUAUCAGCCAUAGGCAAAGGUGGAUUUCCUUCCAAAAUUGUAGCAUAUUCUGCAGCUUCUUCUAUCUCAUCCCCUUUUCUGAUGUUAUGAACCAAACAAGCUUCUAAGGGAUUUUUAGGAUGUUGCUUUUUAAGCACUUCUCUAACCUCUUCAUCUAUCACAUCAACUCUCAAGCAUGAGUUUGAAUCAUCUUUCUUUUUCAUU
rnacentral:misc_RNA from 1 species